ACCUGGCUGGCCCACGUGGUGGAGCAUGAGACUUUCGAUCUCGGGGUUGUAAGUUCGAGUCUCACGCUGGGAU
rnacentral:tRNA from 1 species